GACAGAUGCGCGAUGUGGUUGCAGUCAGUGCAUCGUCUUCUUUGGUUCUCGGAAACAGUCAAUGCCGAUUUACAAGGCCGUCAUAACUACCUGUUCGGGGAUCUACUUAAGGAAAGGAUACAUUCUGCAUUAUGCUGAAAGACGGUUCAUUGAAGUGAUUCAGUGCAAAGAAGAUCUCAGACAAUAUUACGCAACGUGAUUUCGAUUCCCUGUGUGAGAUAAGCGUCAUGCGCCCAACAGUUACGUAAGAAGUACUUGUUUCAUAUCCGGAGCUGCACAUGAUGAAUGACAAAGGAUAUAAUCACGUGUUGGCAACCUACCCUUGAGGCUUUUCGAGUGACCACAUGACACCAUGGUACUAGCCCCACGACUUCAUUAACGAUGAAGGCAGUGUGAUUGGAUACCAGAAUGACAUGGACACGCGAGACUAUCUGGAUAUGGCUUGGACGUAUACAAGUAAUUGCUGUCGUCGAGUGUGGCGAACGUUAAGAAAACGACAGCCUGCAACAGGAAACAAGCAGCAGCAGCUGUAACAACGCACAAGGACUCCGCUAAGGAUAAUGAAUGCAUUCGCUGCUAGCCAGUAGCCUAGAGAAAUCAAUUCACGAAUAAUCAUUACUCUCGUCCAUCAAUGAAUUAACCGAGAAACAAUCUGAUCGACUGUUGCGACUGUUGAUGUAAGGGAAUCUGUGAGCAAUAAACAUGCAUUUCACAAAUUUCAAUUAACUGUCAUCCAGGUAAACAGAUAUAUUAACCGAGCAAACAUCUUUAUCAAACUACAAAGACUAUUAAGAUUUCUAAAGAAUCCACUUGGGCCGCGCGGUCUUGGACGUCUUGCCACGGUCCGGGCGGCUGCCCCCGUCGGAGGCUGGAGUCCUCCCUCGGGCAUGGUACCCGCAGAAGCUACUUAGCCGCGCGAUAUUAGCCGAGCGGUCUUGGGCGCUGCAGUUCUGGACAGGUGCGGCUGGUCCCGGCGGAGGUUCGAAUUCUCCCUCGGGUACGGGUAUGGCAUAGACAGCAGAGAGAAGAAUUCAGGUGCAACCUGGUGAAUGCUGAAGUUUACGAGAGGACUUCUAUCACAGCAACCUACGCAGGAUCUGUUCGCAAAUAUACAGUUUUCCUUUAACAGACAUUCUAGUUGAGAACACAAAUCUGUGAUUAUAUUUUUAAUCUGCUAUACUUACAUUUAUUUAUUACCAAUACAGUGCAAAACUGGAAAUAUUUUGUGGUGAUACUAUGUCUCAUAUAUGUGUUCGUUAGAUAAACUUUAAUUGAGAUACUUAACCAAAAGCGCCUUCUGUAUGUUAGCUCUGACACACUGUUUAGUUAAU